GAGAUCGCUAGUGACCUUUUGGCAACACGUAAAAAUGCCUGUUCUGACUUGUAAUCUUAACUUUAUCAUUACUGAAAUGUUUGAAAAAUAUACAUAAGUGUUUUUUUUUAAAUACCGUUCAAUAAGACCCUCGACCUUUUGCUUGACCUAUUUGGGAAGGAACUGACUUGACUCUGGAUUUCACUCUGCAAAUCCGUCUUUUAUGGCCCAGCAGGUUGCCGUAGUUCUUCCACUAUAUCUUUAGCCACUCCUCUUGACUCACUGGAUUAUUCUUUUUUCCGCAAUGAAGACCCUGAAUGAAGGUCUUUUUCUUCCUGUUUGGAAACCACCAUGAUUUUCCACCAUCAGAUUCUAACUAUGUGCUUCGUGAACUCAAGACAGACACAAGAAAUGGAGCUGCGCUUCACAUGGGUGGUGGCUUAAAGUGCCCCUAUUAUGCUGUUUUGUAUAUUACCUUUCAUAUAGUGUGUAAUAUAGAUGUAAAAGGUCUGCAAAGUUUCAAAUAUUGAAGUUAAUGUCUACCAAAAGAAAGAUAUAGAUAUAGAUAUAGCAAUAGGCAUUUCGUUCUGACAUGUGCUGUAAAUGGUAGACCAAUCGCAACAAACCGGGCCAUUUGACCAAUCAGAGCAGAGCAGACCAAUCCUUUUAAAAUAGCAUAAUGGGGGCACUUUAACACAGUACAACCCUGAACAGAGGUCAAAGGUCGACUCUGCAGCAAGCUGGACUAAAACAUGACAAACCAUAUGGAACGAGUCAGCUGACUGCAAUAUUUACAUCUGCUACAUGUCACAUACUGUAUCUGACUCAACUGAGGUUGUUGAUCUCCACCUUCUCUUUGGGCUAGGAUAACCAGAUCCGAUGUUGACCAUCUGAACAAGAUCACAUGACCAUCACCCAUGACAUAAUUCAUUCAGAUUUUUUAAUGAGCCAUAAACUGUACAAUUGUUUCACUCACAUCAAUAAUCCAAUGUCAAUUUACUUAUUUGCUUAUAUUGAAAGCUGUCAUAACAGAGAUAAUUAUCAGAAAAUAGACCUUUAGACUGAUACCACUGUUUCAUGGUUUGUUUGGGUUUUUUUUUUCUUCCCAUAAUUGUUCAUGAAAAAGUAAAAGUUUUGGGGUAAGCAAGUGUUUUUUUUGUUGUUUUUUUUUG